rnacentral:rRNA from 1 species
CCUACGGGAGGCAGCAGUGAGGAAUAUUGGUCAAUGGGCGGAAGCCUGAACCAGCCAAGUAGCGUGCAGGAUGACGGCCCUACGGGUUGUAAACUGCUUUUAUACGGGAAUAACGCGCCUUACGUGUAGGGCUUGGCAUGGACCGUAUGAAUAAGGACCGGCUAAUUCCGGGCCAGCAGCCGCGGUAAGACGGAAGGUCCGGGCGUUAUCCGGAUGUAGUGGGGGUAAAGGGAGCGUAGGCCGCAUGUCAAGCGUGCUGUGGCCUGUUCGGGCUCAACCCGGGCCUUGCAGCGCGAACUGGCGUGCUUGAGUCCGCGGAAAGCAGGCGGAAUUCGUCGUGUAGCGGUGAAAUGCUUAGAUAUGACGAAGAACCCCGAUUGCGAAGGCAGCUUGCUGCAGCGGAACUGACGCUGAUGCUCGAAAGCGCGGGUAUCGAACAGGAUUAGAUACCCGAGUAGUC